CGGGUGCUGCCCGGUGCGUGACGGCAGCUUGGUCCCCGGGGCUAUACGCUCUCCGAGGGAGCUGUCCCUGCGCCGGCUCGUGGGCCGGAACAAACGGCGCCCACCUGACUUGUCAGGUUCCGGAGGACAACAGAGUCCGCACGGCCAUGGCGGCCCCGCC
rnacentral:sRNA from 1 species